CACAGAAUACAGCAGCCCUGCAGAGACACAAACAGCAUGUUUACUGUGGGAGCUUCGCUCUAGUGCUUUUAUGGGACAAGAGUUUCUGGAUACAAGAGUCUCUUUCAGGAAGUUAUGAGAGUCUUGCAGCUGUUUGUUCUAGGUGACAUGGAACUACGACUACAGCGAUUCAUCAGGACUGUCCUGCUUCUGCACGUCUGCUGGCUCUGGAGUGGCCAGUGUUUGUCCGUCCCCUUCACAAACCAGCAGUUGCUGUAUGUAAUCAAAGGCCAGAAUCUGAUCCCACAGGCACAAAUCGAGCUGCUGGAUGGUGAACAUGUUGUUAAAGAGACAUUGGACCAAAUUGCAAAGACUUCUGGGACGAGUUCAGCAUUGGCUGAGUUUCCUCAUAAAGUCUCAGAUGGGAUAGUAACACUGGAACAACAGGGAGCCACACUGAAGAUCAGAGAUUAUCAAGCAGCAGACGCCGGCGUCUACACGGUCACAGUUCCAGACCAGUCAGGACAGAGACUAUCUGCACAGCGAACCGUUCAAGAGUAUCUGGCGGUGCAUCACGUGUCGGUGAUGGUGAAUGUGUCUCACUCGGUUCUUCACUGUAUGGAGGCGUGGGGAACUGAACCCACAUUCACUUGGCUGCAUGAGCAAGUGGUUGUAACGGAGAAAGUGGGUCGUGUUUCGGCAGAUGGGACGUCUCUGUACGUCUCCGGUACCUUCUGCGGACACUUCACCUGUGUGGUGAGCAACAAACUGGGACACAGUUCAGCCACAUACACCGCAGAGGCGUGUGAAAGCACAAACAGGAGCACGACUGCUGUCGUUGUGUUUCUGCUGCUGAUACUGACGCUUGCAGCCGCAUCUCUGGCCUUUAUACUGUGGAGGAGACACAGGCGUGGAUAUAACCGAAGGGAGAGACUGAGAGAGCCGUAUGAUGAGUCUCUGUGAGCUGAUCUCAGGACACUUUUACUGCGUUACUGACGAGAGCUGAUGGACGCUUUCAGCACACCUUUUGAUACUUUAUUGAUCAAUGUAUUAGACUUUUGUUAUUUUAUUAGACUUCCUGGAAAGAUAGUUAUGCAUAUUUAUUUAACCAAGGUAGACUAGCAUCAUCAGGAGGUUUAGUUAAUGCAAUCCUUUCUGAAAUACUUGUCAGUUAUGACAUUCUGACAUUAAUAUGAUGGCCACUAAACUAUUAAUUGACCAUUGUCCUAUAUCAAUAAAUUAACAUUUGGCUGAGUAAAUUUUUCGUGAUUUAUUUAUUUAUUUUUAUAAUC
rnacentral:lncRNA from 1 species